rnacentral:rRNA from 1 species
AUACGGAGGGUGCAAGCGUUAAUCGGAAUUACUGGGCGUAAAGCGUACGUAGGCGGCAAGUUAAGUUAGAUGUGAAAGCCCCGGGCUCAACCUGGGAACUGCAUUUAAAACUGGCUUGCUAGAGUUGAGUAGAGGGGAGUGGAAUUUCAGGUGUAGCGGUGAAAUGCGUAGAGAUCUGAAGGAACACCAGUGGCGAAGGCGACUCCCUGGACUCGAACUGACGCUGAGGUACGAAAGCGUGGGUAGCAAACGGGAUUAGAUACCCCAGUAGUCC